rnacentral:rRNA from 1 species
CAAGUCGAACGAAUCCCAUCUGGGUAACUGGAUGGGGGAAGUGGCGAAAGGGGCAGUAAUGCAUGGGUAACUUGCCCUGGAGUUCGGGAUAGCCUUUCUAACGAAUGGGUAAUACCGAAUGCCGUACUGUGGGGGCAUCCUCGUAGUACGAAAGUUCCGACGCUCCGGGAGAGGUCCAUGUGGUAUUAGCUAGUUGGUGGGGUAACGGCCCACCAAGGCCAAGAUGCCUAGCAGGUGUGAGAGCACGACCUGCGUCACUGGCACUGGGACACUGGCCAGACUCCUACGGGAGGCUGCAGUCGAGGAUCUUCGGCAAUGGGCGAAAGCCUGACCGAGCGACGCCGCGUGUGCGAUGAAGGCCUUCGGGUUGUAAAGCACUGUCGAGGGAGAGAAAGGCCGUAAGGCGUGAUCGAUCUCUGGAGGAAGCUCGGGCUAAGUUCGUGCCAGCAGCCGCGGUAAGACGAACCGAGCGAACGUUAUUCGGAAUCACUGGGCUUAAAGGGUGCGUAGGCGGGCGUGUUAGUCAGGGGUGAAAUCCCACGGCCCAACCGUGGAAGUGCCUCUGAUACUGCGCGUCUCGAGGGGGACAGGGGCAUGCGGAACUUCCGGUGGAGCGGUGAAAUGCGUAGAUAUCGGAAGGAACACCGGCGGCGAAAGCGGCGUGCUGGAUCCCUACUGACGCUGAGGCACGAAAGCCAGGGGAGCAAACGGGAUUAGAUACCCCGGUAGUCCUGGCCCUAAACGAUGGGUACUAGGUAGUGGACUGACAUGGGUUCACUGCCGAAGCAAAAGUGAUAAGUACCCCGCCUGGGGAGUAUGGUCGCAAGGCUGAAACUCAAAGGAAUUGACGGGGGCUCACACAAGCGGUGGAGCAUGUGGCUUAAUUCGAGGCUACGCGAA